AUUGAACGCUGGCGGCAUGCCUUACACAUGCAAGUCGAACGGCAGCACGGGAGCAAUCCUGGUGGCGAGUGGCGAACGGGUGAGUAAUAUACCGGAACGUGCCCAGUCGUGGGGGAUAACGCAGCGAAAGCUGUGCUAAUACCGCAUACGAUCUAAGGAUGAAAGCGGGGGAUCGCAAGACCUCGCGCGAUUGGAGCGGCCGAUAUCAGAUUAGCUAGUUGGUGGGGUAAAGGCCCACCAAGGCGACGAUCUGUAGCUGGUCUGAGAGGACGACCAGCCACACUGGAACUGAGACACGGUCCAGACUCCUACGGGAGGCAGCAGUGGGGAAUUUUGGACAAUGGGCGCAAGCCUGAUCCAGCAAUGCCGCGUGCAGGAUGAAGGCCUUCGGGUUGUAAACUGCUUUUGUACGGAACGAAACGGCCCUUUCUAAUACAGGGGGCUAAUGACGGUACCGUAAGAAUAGGCACCGGCUAACUACGUGCCAGCCGCCGCAGUAAUAC
rnacentral:rRNA from 1 species